GAGUUUGAUCAUGGCUCAGAUUGAACGCUGGCGGCAUGCCUAAUACAUGCAAGUCGAACGGUAACGCGGGGGCAACCCUGGCGACAAGUGGCGGACGGGUGCGUAAUACAUAGGAAUCUGCCCAGUAGUGGGGGACAACUUAGGGAAACUUAAGCUAAUACCGCAUACGCCCUACGGGGGAAAGCGGGGGAUCGUAAGACCUCGCGCUAUUGGAUGAGCCUAUGUCCGAUUAGCUAGUUGGUAGGGUAAUGGCCUACCAAGGUGACGAUCGGUAGCUGGUCUGAGAGGACGAUCAGCCACACUGGGACUGAGACACGGCCCAGACUCCUACGGGAGGCAGCAGUAGGGAAUAUUGGACAAUGGGCGAAAGCCUGAUCCAGCAAUGCCGCGUGUGUGAAGAAGGCCUGCGGGUUGUAAAGCACUUUCGGUUGGGAAGAAAAGCUGAUGACUAAUAAUUGUCAGUCUUGACGUUACCAAAAAAAGAAGCACCGGCUAACUCUGUGCCAGCAGCCGCGGUAAUACAGAGGGUGCAAGCGUUAAUCGGAAUUACUGGGCGUAAAGCGUGCGUAGGCGGCUAAAUCAGUCGGGUGUGAAAUCCCCAGGCUUAACCUGGGAACUGCAUUCGAUACUAUUUGGCUAGAGUAUGA
rnacentral:rRNA from 1 species